UACGGGGGGGGCAAGCGUUGUUCGGAAUUAUUGGGCGUAAAGGGCUCGUAGGCGGUUUGUCGCGUCGGGAGUGAAAAUCCAGGGCUUAACUCUGGACUGGCUUCCGAUACGGGCAGACUAGAGGUAUGCAGGGGAGAACGGAAUUCCUGGUGUAGUGGUGAAAUGCGUAGAGAUCGGGAGGAACACCAGUGGCGAAGGCGGCUCGCUGGGCCGGUCCUGACACUGAGGCGCGAAGGCGUGGGGAGCGAACGGG
rnacentral:rRNA from 1 species